UGUUUUGAAUAUUGUAAGAUCUCAGCAGCAGCUCCACUCUGCAGAAAAUCACUUACAGGAUUGCUCUGUCUGAGGUAAAAGCCUAUUUUAAGACACCUCAGUGCACAAGCUGAGCAAUGACUCGUGCACGCGUCCUCACCUCCAGCCCCCCUGGGGAUGACAUCAUCGGGCUCCUCUCCAAGUCUGAUGAUGUAAUGUCUGCUAAAUUGCUAAGUGCUCAGGAUGAAGUCAUCGUAUCUGAAUUUGAUAUCAGCUAAGUGGUUCAGUGAGGGGGGGACAGCUGGCUCAGAAUGCUUACUCCCCCCUUUUCUCUCUCUCAUACAUCCGGAACAUCUUUUUCUUAGCUCUCUCUGCAUCCUGCCUCGGUCGCCCCACUUUCCAUCUCUCCUCCAGCCUCCAGUCUUACACCAAGUUGCGUCAUGUGUUUGGUGGUGGAGCCUCUGGAGAAGCAGGAGGUUCUGUCGCUCUGUUCUUUCUCUGUGAGUUUGACCCGCCAGGUCAGUGAGCUUCUAUUUUAAACCUCGGCUGUCAUCCUGUGAAGCUAUCAAAUAAACCUGGACCACGUGUAUCAGCCCUCCCAUCCACCUUCUCCUCAUCUCCUCCAGCUAAACACACUUUGGAUUUGUAGAUUAGGAUUUUGGGGGGGGGGGGGUUAGGGUUAGGGUUUUAUUUUGAAAUUUAUUUCCUGGAGUGUCCUUGAUUGUUUUGCUUCCUGUCUUUGUCUGAGUCCAGGCCCUGAUGGGUUUCACCUGUGUUCAAUCACUUCCUGUGUGUGUAUUUAGUCUCUGUGCUCCUGUCGCUCCUGUGUCAGUUUGUAGAUUCAUUCAUUUUCUGUUAGUUUUUCUGCCAGCUUCUUCCUCUGUGUUUCUCUUUGCGUCUGAUUCCCUUCCUGCACGUUUGCUGCCUUAGUUUAGAUUUUGGAUUUUCUGUUUUGGAGUUUUGGGAAUUUGUUUUCCUGCUCACUUGCCUUCCACAGACUAUUAGGAAAUGAGCAGGAAACGGGAGAGAACAAGCUGAAACGGUCAUGGGGCACCAGAGCUUUUACCAUCUUUGUGAGGGUACACGCUGAUCAAAUCACUGUCUGAGGGCUGAUGCAUAGAAAAGGACAAGCAUCAGAGGCACUAAAUCACUUGAGCUGCACUUGAUCCACGUGUCUGGAAGAAAUCCAUGCAGGAGCAAGACCUGAUAUCUACUUACCUACAGUUGUGCACACACUCCUUCGUACUACCAUCAGCUCCAAUAUGCUCUGGGGGAUACAUCCGAGAGUUCCCAUCAGGCUUCGCCACAUCCUCAAGACCCCAACAGUGUCCCAGUGUCAGACUUGUCUGGACCAGCCACAGCCACUGGACUCAACCAUGGACUCACGCAUCAUCAUUUUCCACUGUUGCAGAGACAGAGGGCAGCUAUAUGGCUAAUGGUCUGCGGAGAGGAAGAGGAGGAUCAAAACAGCAGCUGAAUCUGAACACAUAGGUCUGUGUGAGGCUGGUGUGAUUUGCUGUGACUGGUUUUACAGCCCAAGGCGAGAAAAACUUCCUUUUGAUCUCUCCUCAUACCACCUCUCUCUCACUUCCUGCUUUUCCUCCAUCCAUCCUCACCCCCCCUCCUCCUCCUUCUCGUCCACGUGUCUUCGUUUUUAAUUUAUCGCUUUCAUUCAGCCCCUCUCUGUGCAAUUCUCAGAACACAUCCUCUCCUCUGCUUCACAACAUCAUCUUUCAGAGGCAGCUCUUAUUACCAACCAUGCUCCCCUCACCACAUUACUUGUGGUGUGUAGUAGCCUGCUGUGGAGAGCUGUCAUUCACACACAGUCACACACACACACCCUUGACCUCUGACCCCAGUCACCUGUAAAAACCCCAGAAAUAAUAUGUCCAUCGAUUGCCACUCAAUUCUCUGUCUUCUGUCCCUCCUCAGUCUUUUCAUUGUGUUUUCUAUCUGAAUCUCUGCUUGACUCUGAUGAGGGGAAUACUGAUGACACUGACAUUACAACCUUUAACAUGACUCACAUACUGAGGCCCUGCCCCUCCACGUAGAUGCACACACACAAUCAUGUCGAGAUACAGACACACACACACACACUCACUCUUACACUUCUUGUACAAAUUAUAUUCUGAUCAUGUUUAAGGCUAAGCUCAGUAUAAUCACAUGCUUAACCUUUUGCUGACUCCCCAUCACUCAUUCUGUCCGUGUGUGUCUGUGUGUGUGUGUGCUAAAUAUUGAAAGGUUAAAUACUUAAUGUCUACUGUAAUACACAUUUUAACAAUA